GAUUAUGGCUCAGGAUGAACGCUAGCGGCAGGCUUAACACAUGCAAGUCGAGGGGCAUCGGGAGUAGCAAUACUUGCCGGCGACCGGCGCAAGGGUGCGUAACGCGUGAGCAACAUACCCGUAUCAGGGGGAUAAUCCAUGGAAACGUGGUCUAAUACCCCAUAGUAAUUAUGUAAGGCAUCUUAUAUAAUUUAAAGCUUUGGUGGAUACGGAUUGGCUCGCGUGACAUUAGCUGGAUGGUAAGGUAACGGCUUACCAUGGCUACGAUGUCUAGGGGUUCUGAGAGGAAGGUCCCCCACACUGGAACUGAGACACGGUCCAGACUCCUACGGGAGGCAGCAGUGAGGAAUAUUGGACAAUGGAUGGAAAUCUGAUCCAGCCAUGCCGCGUGCAAGGAAGACGGCCCUAUGGGUUGUAAACUGCUUUUGUAUGGGAGCAAUAAGGGCUACGUGUAGUCCGAUGAGAGUACCAUACGAAUAAGCACCGGCUAACUCCGUGCCAGCCGCGGC
rnacentral:rRNA from 1 species